GAUGAACGCUGGCGGCGCGCCUAACACAUGCAAGUCGAACGGCACCCCUCUCCGGAGGGAAGCGAGUGGCGAACGGCUGAGUAACACGUGGAGAACCUGCCCCCUCCCCCGGGAUAGCCGCCCGAAAGGACGGGUAAUACCGGAUACCCCCGGGCGCCGCAUGGCGCCCGGGCUAAAGCCCCGACGGGAGGGGAUGGCUCCGCGGCCCAUCAGGUAGACGGCGGGGUGACGGCCCACCGUGCCGA
rnacentral:rRNA from 1 species